UACGAAGGACCCGAGCGUUAUCCGGAUUUAUUGGGUUUAAAGGGUGCGUAGGCGGAUUUUCAAGUCAGUGGUGAAAUCUCCCAGCUUAACUGGGAAACUGCCAUUGAAACUGUUUAUCUUGAGUACAUUUGAGGCGGGCGGAAUGUGUCAUGUAGAGGUGAAAUUCUUAGAUAUGACACAGAACACCAAUUGCGAAGGCAGCUCGCUAAACUGUAACUGACGCUGAGGCACGAAAGCGUGGGUAGCAAACAGG
rnacentral:rRNA from 1 species